ACCUGGGUGGCUCAGUUGGUUGGGUGUUGAACUCUUGAUUUAAUGGCUCGGGUCAUGAUCUCGUGGUUCGUGGGAUCGAACCCCACACCAGGCU
rnacentral:tRNA from 1 species